AUUGAACGCUGGCGGCAGGCCUAACACAUGCAAGUCGAGCGAGCGGCGGACGGGUGAGUAAUGCCUGGGAAUUGCCCAGUCGAGGGGGAUAACAGUUGGAAACGACUGCUAAUACCGCAUACGAUUGGAAUGCCCAGGUGGGAUUAGCUGGUUGGUGAGGUAAUGGCUCACCAAGGCGACGACCCCUAUCUGGUCUGUGAGGAUGAUCAGCCACACUGGAACUUGGCCCCGUUCCAGCCUCCUACGGGCGUGAGCAGUGGGGAAUAUUGCACAAUGUGGAGAACCCUGAGGCCGCCAUGCCGCGUGUGUGAAGAAGGCCUUCUGGUUGUAAAGCACUUUCAGCGAGGAGGCGUUACUCGCAGGAGAAGCACCGGCUAACUCCGUGCCAGCAGCCGCGGUAAUAC
rnacentral:rRNA from 1 species